UCUAAUAUGGCAGAAUAGUGCAUUGGACUUAAACCUCAAUUAUAAAGAAACCUCUUUUUUUAGAA
rnacentral:tRNA from 1 species